CCAUGUAACAUAGUAAUUGUGACAUGGUAAAGUUAACAAUAUACAUGUCCAGCAGUACUAUUCUAUUUUUACCAUUUAUCGAACAAACAUAGUAAUAUUCACUCUAAAAAUGUUUGCACGAAAUAUCUACAUUUUCGAGCUUACAAUACAUCAUAGUUGUUAAAAACAUUUAGUUGUUGUCUUCAUUUUUUAGUUUACUGCGUCAUUUGCGAAGGUUCGCCAUUUGCAAAAUUUGCUCCACCUCCGCAUCGGAAAAUUCAAGCGUUAAAAGUUCAGUGAGUCUUUGCCGCGCCAAAUUCAACAUUCUCUAAGGACUAGAGUUGGGCGGAAAAGCUUUAAGUUUGGCCGGGUGUUGCCAAUCAGUGGAACGAAACAACGAUACUCAAAAUGGCACGGAAAACCAUUUACUAAAAUUCUAGGUAUUCCCAAUUUGAUCCUAUUCCGAGCCAAGAAGCCCAUUGCCUGACUGGAUCCCUCAGUGAUCUCGGGCAGUCCAAAAUGUGCAACAUCUGCAACAGCCUCUUCAAGUUGGGAGCAGAGACGUUCGGACCAGCUAGAUGACGAUGCCACAGAACAAAAAUUUAUUAUCUGUUAGUUCUACAAGGAUUAUAGUUCUGUAGUGUGUAAUACUUAGCAUGUAUCAUAUAAUAAAAACAGGAUCAAGUUCAUGUGUUUUUGUUUCAACUUAUAAAUAAACGGAAACUACUGGUGCCGAUUUGCAACCAUGCGUAUAGUUAAAAUAUUAUUUUCAUGGUUGCAUUUACUAUGGUAUUCAUCAGUGCACAUAGUAAAAGACACCAAAAACAUUUGGUGGAAAUAACCAUAAAAAGUAAACAAAAACGGGCAAGGUAAAUUUAACCCUUGUCAUAGAAGUUUCAAGGAAAAAUUAUUGUCUACGAAAAUCAAGUAGUAAAGAUGUUUUAAUUUGACCCUAUGAAAUGGUAAAAGUUACC